AAAUUUUUCACUUUUCAUAUCUGAAAAAUUCUCUGCAGAUUCAAAUUUGGAAUAGUUGAAGAAGAAGAAGAGGAAGAGAAAAUGAGAGGAAACGAUCCGAAUCCGUUUGAUGAAGAGGAGCCUGAAGUCAAUCCUUUUUCAAAAGGUGGCUCCGCUCCUGCUUCGAAGUCACGCUUCCCUCAAAUGAUUGCUAGUACUCUUGGUUUUGGCCAAAAACAUGAUGCAACUGAUGACGUCCCAUUGGAUUCAAUGAAUGGCUCCAACAAGAAGCAAAAAGAAUUAGCAACCUGGGAAGCAGAUCUGCAAAGGAGAGAAAGAGAUAUUAAACGAAGAGAAGAUGCUGUUGCUGGUGCUGGUGUGCCAACUGAUGAUAGGAAUUGGCCGCCCUUCUUUCCAAUUAUUCAUCAUG
rnacentral:misc_RNA from 1 species